rnacentral:rRNA from 1 species
GCCUAAUACAUGCAAGUAGAACGCUGAAGAGGGGAGCUUGCUCUUCUUGGAUGAGUUGCGAACGGGUGAGUAACGCGUAGGUAACCUGCCUUGUAGCGGGGGAUAACUAUUGGAAACGAUAGCUAAUACCGCAUAACAAUGGAUGACACAUGUCAUUUAUUUGAAAGGGGCAAUUGCUCCACUACAAGAUGGACCUGCGUUGUAUUAGCUAGUAGGUGAGGUAACGGCUCACCUAGGCGACGAUACAUAGCCGACCUGAGAGGGUGAUCGGCCACACUGGGACUGAGACACGGCCCAGACUCCUACGGGAGGCAGCAGUAGGGAAUCUUCGGCAAUGGGGGCAACCCUGACCGAGCAACGCCGCGUGAGUGAAGAAGGUUUUCGGAUCGUAAAACUCUGUUGUAAGUCAAGAACGAGUGUGAGAGUGGAAAGUUCACACUGUGACGGUAGCUUACCAGAAAGGGACGGCUAACUACGUGCCAGCAGCCGCGGUAAUACGUAGGUCCCGAGCGUUGUCCGGAUUUAUUGGGCGUAGAGCGAGCGCAGGCGGUUUGAUAAGUCUGAAGUUAAAGGCUGUGGCUCAACCAUAGCUCGCUUUGGAAACUGUCAAACUUGAGUGCAGAAGGGGAGAGUGGAAUUCCAUGUGUAGCGGUGAAAUGCGUAGAUAUAUGGAGGAACACCGGUGGCGAAAGCGGCUCUCUGGUCUGUAACUGACGCUGAGGCUCGAAAGCGUGGGGAGCGAACAGGAUUAGAUACCCUGGUAGUCCACGCCGUAAACGAUGAGUGCUAGGUGUUGGAUCCUUUCCGGGAUUCAGUGCCGCAGCUAACGCAUUAAGCACUCCGCCUGGGGAGUACGACCGCAAGGUUGAAACUCAAAGGAAUUGACGGGGGCCCGCACAAGCGGUGGAGCAUGUGGUUUAAUUCGAAGCAACGCGAAGAACCUUACCAGGUCUUGACAUCCCGAUGCUAUUUCUAGAGAUAGAAAGUUACUUCGGUACAUCGGUGACAGGUGGUGCAUGGUUGUCGUCAGCUCGUGUCGUGAGAUGUUGGGUUAAGUCCCGCAACGAGCGCAACCCCUAUUGUUAGUUGCCAUCAUUCAGUUGGGCACUCUAGCGAGACUGCCGGUAAUAAACCGGAGGAAGGUGGGGAUGACGUCAAAUCAUCAUGCCCCUUAUGACCUGGGCUACACACGUGCUACAAUGGUUGGUACAACGAGUUGCGAGUCGGUGACGGCAAGCUAAUCUCUUAAAGCCAAUCUCAGUUCGGAUUGUAGGCUGCAACUCGCCUACAUGAAGUCGGAAUCGCUAGUAAUCGCGGAUCAGCACGCCGCGGUGAAUACGUUCCCGGGCCUUGUACACACCGCCCGUCACACCACGAGAGUUUGUAACACCCGAAGUCGGUGAGGUAACCUUUUGGAGCCAGCCGCCUAAGGUGGGAUAGAUGAUUGGGGUGAAGUCAUAAC